rnacentral:tRNA from 1 species
GGUCUUGUGGUAGUAGUGGUUUAACAUGUCUCCCUGUCACGGAGAAGAUCGCGGGUUCGAUCCCCGUCAAGACCGCCA